rnacentral:rRNA from 1 species
CCUACGGGACGCACCAGUAAGGAAUAUUGGUCAAUGGGCGGAAGCCUGAACCAGCCAUGCCGCGUGCAGGAUGACUGCCCUAUGGGUUGUAAACUGCUUUUGUCCAGGAAUAAACCUAAAUACGUGUAUUUAGCUGAAUGUACUGGAAGAAUAAGGAUCGGCUAACUCCGUGCCAGCAGCCGCGGUAAUACGGAGGAUCCGAGCGUUAUCCGGAUUUAUUGGGUUUAAAGGGUGCGUAGGCGGCCUGUUAAGUCAGGGGUGAAAUACGGUGGCUCAACCAUCGCAGUGCCUUUGAUACUGAUGGGCUUGAAUCCAUUUGAAGUGGGCGGAAUAAGACAAGUAGCGGUGAAAUGCAUAGAUAUGUCUUAGAACUCCGAUUGAGAAGGCAGAUCAAUAAGCUGGUAUUGGCGCUGAUGCACGAAAGCGUGGGGAUCGAACAGGAUUAGAUACCCUUGUAGUC